GCAUGCUGACAGGAGAGGAAGAAGUUGUUGUGAGCAGAGAACCUGUCUGUGCAUUCUGGACAAGCUGUCCUUACUGUCACAUACAGAGGAGGGAACUUAAAGGUGUCUCCGUGUGGUUCUGUAACCCAGCUGUCCCUGCACAUGGACACGCUGACUAAAGUCAUGCCCAUAAAUAGAUCCUGCCACACACAUAUGAGGAUGAUUUGCAUAGGAAACAAGAAGUAGGUGCCAUGAAGUUUCAGAUACCUCCUGGUUUUCUACACUGAGUCACUGUGCUGUUAUCUCCACUGGCUCUUGACAAAUGCAGGAUACAAGAAACUCUGAAACUGAAGACAGCCUGGAGCUGAGCAUCAGUCUAUUAAAAGCACAGACUUCCACAGAUGGGUUUAUGGUCCAUUGCGAUUUUCCUGCCAACCCCUAACUGCUACACAGGCAUUAAUGAUUUCUCUGUUCGACAGGGUCUAAUAGCCUGUGAGCCUUUUCUGCCCAGAGGUGCCUUUUUCCUGAGCUGGCUUAAUCAAUUAACAUACCCAGAAGUUAACAGGGACAAUUUUGCCUCACUUCCAUUUAGCUCAAACCUUUUUAGACCAGAAGAAAAAUGUAAGGUCUCUCAGUCCAACCCUCCUCCCCCGCAUCCCCAAAGCAGCUGGCUGACACAGCACAGGCAAAUCUGAGUCUCAUUUCUCUUUUAAAUUUGUGACUUAGCUGAUCCAGUUUGUAUCCAUCAGCACAUUCAGACCAUUAAGACUCGCCUCAGCCCCUAGCACAUCACUUGCUGCAGCAGAAAACUCAUCAGCCCUCCAGCAAGCAGACAAAUAGCUUUGCUAAGACUUCAGAACUAUUCCCAUGCAGCCUGAAGACUCCUCAGAGCACAAGCUCUGCACUCCUGCCAUCUCUCUCACUACCUGAUCCUGGCUUUAGCAUGACCCCUCUGACAGAGCUCCUCACCUUUCAGCCCAGUUUCCUUUUCUAAUUUCUACAGCCUCUGGCUCCCACACCACUUCCCUUACUCGCUACUUGCCCUACCUUAACGUCCAGUAUUACGCCGUUUCCUUUUCUUCCUGCAUCUUGCUCAGACACCAGCUGGUGGCAGGACCAGCACAGACAUAAGGCCUCCGUGCCUAAGCAAAGCAGCCUCGUGUUUUCAGGAGCAGCCCAUGGAACACUGCUUGAGAAGCAGGGCAGGUGACUCACCUGAAUUUAUCAGAUAGCAAUUCCUCACUCCAAAGCCUGAGAAAACAGAAAUUCUUCACAAAUGGACACGCGGGGACUUUCUUGUUGUUAGCAUGGGCAAAGCUGACAUUUUUCCACCACAAUCUGGCUUCAGAAAUAGUCAAAUCCUUUUAACUGAGACUUGUAUAUAUUCAAACAAGUCAGCUGUAGGCUGAUAACCAGACAACGAAUGUGAUCAGUGAAACAAUUAAAGCUCGCUGAAAUUAUGAACCACUCCUCUCAGUACACACAUAGAGGGCAGUAAGUGGAUAUGCAAGUGAAAAACAGCUGGCAGAAACAUACUCUGUUCAGAGUACCAGGUAAGCAAGAGGAAUCACAGAGAAGCUUAUGCACAAUGACAGCAACAACGCUACUCUGCCACAGCUGGUUUUGAAGAAACACUGAAUCUUUAUGAGGUUGCCAAAGCAUUCUUUCAGCUUUUAAAAAAGGGAGUUGGCUUUAGUAACUUCUGCUGCAAAAUGAUGAACUUCCAAGGAGUGCACGCUGCUCUUGGGAGCACAUUCUCUAAGUAUCAAAACGUCUGAAUAAUAUACUUUAUUCAUAUUGAAACAAUGCCCCAAAUAAUUUUAUUUGUGGAAUACAAAGUUAAAAACAGAUAUAAAAAAAAAAAUCAACAGAACAUUAAAAACUUAUUACAAAACCAAACUAAAAUAAUAAAACAGUGCAUUUUGUGCAAGAGUUUAAUUUGGAUACCAUCUGCAACAAAAACAUUACACCAUUAAACCUGGAUAUUUAGUACUCAUUGUAGUUCCUAUAGUGUAUUAAAGAAUUCUAAGUCACUUUAACAAACAUUCUAA